rnacentral:rRNA from 1 species
CUAACGUCCGUCGUGAAGAGGGAAACAACCCAGACCGCCAGCUAAGGUCCCAAAGUCAUGGUUAAGUGGGAAACGAUGUGGGAAGGCCCAGACAGCCAGGAUGUUGGCUUAGAAGCAGCCAUCAUUUAAAGAAAGCGUAAUAGCUCACUGGUCGAGUCGGCCUGCGCGGAAGAUGUAACGGGGCUAAACCAUGCACCGAAGCUGCGGCAGCGACGCUUAUGCGUUGUUGGGUAGGGGAGCGUUCUGUAAGCCUGUGAAGGUGUGCUGUGAGGUAUGCUGGAGGUAUCAGAAGUGCGAAUGCUGACAUAAGUAACGAUAAAGCGGGUGAAAAGCCCGCUCGCCGGAAGACCAAGGGUUCCUGUCCAACGUUAAUCGGGGCAGGGUGAGUCGACCCCUAAGGCGAGGCCGAAAGGCGUAGUCGAUGGGAAACAGGUUAAUAUUCCUGUACUUGGUGUUACUGCGAAGGGGGGACGGAGAAGGCUAUGUUGGCCGGGCGACGGUUGUCCCGGUUUAAGCGUGUAGGCUGGUUUUCCAGGCAAAUCCGGAAAAUCAAGGCCGAGGCGUGAUGACGAGGCACUACGGUGCUGAAGCAACAAAUGCCCUGCUUCCAGGAAAAGCCUCUAAGCAUCAGGUAACAUCAAAUCGUACCCCAAACCGACACAGGUGGUCAGGUAGAGAAUACCAAGGCGCUUGAGAGAACUCGGGUGAAGGAACUAGGCAAAAUGGUGCCGUAACUUCGGGAGAAGGCACGCUGAUACGUAGGUGAAGCGACUUGCUCGUGGAGCUGAAAUCAGUCGAAGAUACCAGCUGGCUGCAACUGUUUAUUAAAAACACAGCACUGUGCAAACACGAAAGUGGACGUAUACGGUGUGACGCCUGCCCGGUGCCGGAAGGUUAAUUGAUGGGGUUAGCGCAAGCGAAGCUCUUGAUCGAAGCCCCGGUAAACGGCGGCCGUAACUAUAACGGUCCUAAGGUAGCGAAAUUCCUUGUCGGGUAAGUUCCGACCUGCACGAAUGGCGUAAUGAUGGCCAGGCUGUCUCCACCCGAGACUCAGUGAAAUUGAACUCGCUGUGAAGAUGCAGUGUACCCGCGGCAAGACGGAAAGACCCCGUGAACCUUUACUAUAGCUUGACACUGAACAUUGAGCCUUGAUGUGUAGGAUAGGUGGGAGGCUUUGAAGUGUGGACGCCAGUCUGCAUGGAGCCGACCUUGAAAUACCACCCUUUAAUGUUUGAUGUUCUAACGUGGACCCGUGAUCCGGGUUGCGGACAGUGUCUGGUGGGUAGUUUGACUGGGGCGGUCUCCUCCUAAAGAGUAACGGAGGAGCACGAAGGUUGGCUAAUCCUGGUCGGACAUCAGGAGGUUAGUGCAAUGGCAUAAGCCAGCUUGACUGCGAGCGUGACGGCGCGAGCAGGUGCGAAAGCAGGUCAUAGUGAUCCGGUGGUUCUGAAUGGAAGGGCCAUCGCUCAACGGAUAAAAGGUACUCCGGGGAUAACAGGCUGAUACCGCCCAAGAGUUCAUAUCGACGGCGGUGUUUGGCACCUCGAUGUCGGCUCAUCACAUCCUGGGGCUGAAGUAGGUCCCAAGG